rnacentral:rRNA from 1 species
CAGCCGCCGCGGUAAUACGAAGGGUGCAAGCGUUAAUCGGAAUUAUUGGGCGUAAAGGGUGCGUAGGCGAUUGUUUAAGUCUGUUGUGAAAUCCCCGGGCUCAACCUGGGAAUUGCAGUGGAUACUGGGUCACUAGAGUGUGGUAGAGGAUAGUGGAAUUUCCGGCGUAGCAGUGAAAUGCGUAGAGAUCGGAAGGAACAUCUGUGGCGAAGGCGACUAUCUGGGCCAACACUGACACUGAGGCACGAAAGCGUGGGGAGCAAACAGGAUUAGAUACCCGCGUAGUCCCUGUCUCUUAUAC